UGGAGUAUUUAUUAUAUUUUUAUUUCUUUUAUAUUUUCAGAGUGUCUCAGAUUUUUGCUUACAGUGAUCAUAUAUUGCUUUCACAUAAGAAAAAAAAAUCUGUCUCUUCCUUUCUUUCAAUGUCAAUGUCAGGGCACUACUUGGAUGUGGGAUGAUCCUCCAUAACAUUCAAAGUCACCAAAGCCACCACUGCCUCUAGUCCACGUGCCUUAUUCUGUAGGCCACCGCUCGCCUGGGUAUGGCAGAUUCUCUACUGCUUAUAAUUACCAUCUUCUGGAUUCAAGUCCAAGAAAUUGGAUAUAUUCUCCCUAUCUCGCCUCUGUCAAGUAGUUCUGUGCAGCUUCUGUGGCCAGAAACUCUGGCCAUGUGUGGUGUUCUCCACAAUACUACCUGCAUAUCGCACUUACCUACUUCUCUCUCUUUUUCUCCUCCGACCACACUUGUGGCAUGUGGCAGUUCCCAGGUGAGGGAUCAAACCCAUACCACAAUUGCAACCUGAACCACAGCUCCAGCAACACCAGUGGCACAGGAGGCUUCCUUCCCUGCUUCUCUUUAAGCCUGACUAGCACUCCCCUGUGGGUGGACAUCUCCUUCCUGCCCCAUUCAUUCCUACUGCACUCCUGUAGAAUCCACACUCAUUCUGCUCCCUUCUGGAAGGGCUGUGCUUGGCUUUAUGGGUCCUGCAUCGGCCUGUGGAACCCAUAUUCAUGCUAAGUACAGCUAUCGGGAUGCAGUCUUUAUUGGGCUUGCCUAGGGUCUUGUUCUCUGAGCAUUGAUGCUCUGGGCAUCCCCUGAAGGAUAGCUUUGAGGCCUGGGAAUAUGUGGUGUCCACUCACAUGCUCUGUUCACUUUCUAGUGCUAUGCUCGUACUAGAGAGCCGCCAGCCCUAUUCAGUUUCAUAAUGUUUCCCACUCUUGACCCCCAGGGCUAUGGUAAUCAGCCCUACCAUUUCUGCCACGACUUCUAGCCUUCCUCAGCUGCGUCUCCCCAUAAAGUGUCUCUUCAGAUAUCCAGUGACUAUCCCUACUGCUAACUAUACUAUUUCCCAUACGAGCCACUAUUUGGGAAUAACCCAGACAUACUCCUGCUGCUACUACCCAAGUUCAAUGGCAACUAGGCCAAGAACUACUGGGAUAAAGACAUCAGGAAUGGAGUUCCCAUCGUGGCGCAGUGGAAAUGAAUCUGACUAGGAACCAUGAGGUUGCGGGUUCAGUCCCCGGCAUCGCUUAGUAGGUUAAAGAUCUGGCGUUGCCAUGAGCUGUGGUGUAGGUUACAGACACGGCUUGGAUCUGAUGUGGCUGUGGCUGUGGGGUAGGCUGGCAGCUGCAGCUCCAACUGGACUCCUAGCCUGGGAACCUCCACAUGCUGCGGGUGUGGCCCUAAAAAAAAAAAAAAAAAAAAAAGAAAUAAAGACAUCCGGAAGAACAUGAACAGGAAAUUCCUAAAUACAAUACUGGAUGAGCAAGAAAGGAACUUAAAUAGCCCCCUCCCAUAAAAUUCAAAACUCUGGAAUGUCUAACUCAUUACCCCACUAGCCUCGCAGUCCCUCCUACCAACGUGGGAGUGGGUGCCAAAAGACGUAAUGUUUUGAGCCUAUAGGAUGUCACUGAAGAUCAGUCCCCCAUCCCUGUAAUGGAUACACCCAUUGGUAUAGUAGGGUACGAACCAUAUCCCUGCCUAAAUCACAAUGUUGAUAAGAAAGUUAAAGAAGGGAAAGUGCCCACGGUCUGUUAAAACUUUCAGAAUACAGUGCAUCAUCUUUCAUUAACUUAGGUAACUAUAACCUUUUCAUGGCUUUACUUGCAAUCCUCUUCUUAAGGACUGGCACUCGGAAGGAAAAAAGAAAUACUUUUUUCUCUGUGGAGGUCCUUUUGAAGAAGGAGAUCCAGCUACAUCUCUUUCCUAUGAUCCGAAAUGGUUGGGGAUUCUGAAGAGGAAAUCAUAAUUCUGAGCCAGCUUACCUACCUGGCUUAAAUUUGUUGUACAUUCUUGUAUUCAUUUUAGUUUUGCCAUGCUUAAGCCUUUGGUAAGUGUUUUUAGAUGUACCUCAGAACACUGCGGACCAUCAGUGCAAGCAAUCCCCUUAAUGAUAUGGAAAUGAGAACUGGACCGAAUAGUUAAGUGGGAAGUAAUCACCCUCCAACCGCAACUACCUCAAAGAACUAAAAGGAAAAAUCACGUUGACAAAUAGCAUUAGGAGCAUACAGUUCCACUGCCUCUGCCCACGUGGAGAUUCUCUGAUCACUUUCAUCUUGGAAGGAUCGGUUGUGUUUUUAGUAAUGAUUUUUUUUCCUAAUACUGUCCUCCAAAAUAUUGAUAUGAACAUCUGAGUUGAAGUACUUUGCAUGAAAAAGAAGUCUGAUCCCGACCCCUAGGGAUGGGAGGUGUGGGUAGUCAGGUGGAAAAGACGAAGGAUGCGUUGCCGGAUCUCCUUUGUCUUCACUCCGUAGACAAUGGGGUUGAGCACAGGAGGAACAAGAAGGUAGGUGUUGGCCAUGAUGACCGGCAGGAGGGAGUCAUGCCGCUUGUCAAAGCGAUGCACCAUAGACAGUCCAAUGAAAGGCACGUAGAAUAUGAAAACUGCGCACACAUGGGAGACACACGUGCCAAAUGCCUUUGCCUGGGCUUCACGUGUCAAGCCCAACACAGUCUUGAGGAUAAGCAGGUACGACAAAGAGAUGAGAAGCGAGUCCAUGCCAAUGGCAGAGAUGAUGACGAUGAGGCCAUAGAUGAUGUUGACGCGGAUGUCAGCACAG
rnacentral:lncRNA from 1 species